GGCUCAGAACGAACGCUGGCUGCAGGCCUAACACAUGCAAGUCGAACGCCGUAGCAAUACGGAGUGGCAGACGGGUGAGUAACGCGUGGGAACCUUCCCAAUGGUGCGGAAUAGCUCAGGGAAACCUGGGGUAAUACCGCAUACGCCCUUCGGGGGAAAGAUUUAUCGCCAUUGGAUGGGCCCGCGUCGGAUUAGCUAGUUGGUGGAGUAAUGGCCUACCAAGGCGACGAUCCUUAGCUGGUUUGAGAGAACGACCAGCCACACUGGGACUGAGACACGGCCCAGACUCCUACGGGAGGCAGCAGUGGG
rnacentral:rRNA from 1 species